UACACAGGGAGGUAGGGACAAGAAAUAACAAUACGGGGCUUAAAGUCUUGUAAUUGGAAUGAUGGGAAUUUAAACCUCUUCCAGAGUAUCAAUUGGAGGGCAAGUCUGGUGCCAGCAGCCGCGGUAAUUCCAGCUCCAAUAGCGUAUAUUAAAAUUGUUGCAGUUAAAAAGCUCGUAGUUGAAUUUCUGCUGCAUUGCUUGUGUCCCUCUGGGGUCUGUGCAUGUGGCUUUUUUCGGACGGAGUUUCUUUGUCUGAAUGUUUACUUUGAGAAAAUUAGAGUGCUCAAAGCAGGCUUUCGCCUUGAAUAGUUUAGCAUGGAAUAAUAAAGUAGGACUUUGGUUCUAUUUUNUUGGUUUUAG
rnacentral:rRNA from 1 species